rnacentral:rRNA from 1 species
GACGAACGCUGGCGGCGUGCUUAACACAUGCAAGUCGAACGGAAAGGCCCUGCUUGCAGGGUACUCGAGUGGCGAACGGGUGAGUAACACGUGGGUGAUCUGCCCUGCACUUCGGGAUAAGCCUUGGAAACUGGGUCUACUACCGGAUAGGAGCCAUUUUUAGUGUGAUGGUUGGAAAGUUUUUUUCGGUGUAGGAUGAGCUCGCGGCCUAUCAGCUUGUUGGUGGGGUAAUGGCCUACCAAGGCGGCGACGGGUAGCCGGCCUGAGAGGGUGGACGGCCACAUUGGGACUGAGAUACGGACCAGACUCCGACGGGAGGCAGCAGUGGGGAAUAUUGCACAAUGGGCGCAAGCCUGAUGCAGCGACGCCGCGUGGGGGAUGACGGCCUUCGGGUUGUAAACUCCUUUCGCUAGGGACGAAGCUUUUUGUGACGGUACCUAGAUAAGAAGCACCGGCUAACUACGUG